rnacentral:sRNA from 1 species
AGUGUAGAUCUCUAAAGCGCCGGGGUCUAGAGCGGGAUGAGGAGAAGUGCGUGCGAUUUUCCUCCCGCAUCCCGCGUCUC